GAUGAACGCUAGCGGCAGGCCUAACACAUGCAAGUCGAGGGGGAAGUUACUUUCGGGUAACAGAGACCGGCGCACGGGUGCGUAACGCGUAUACAAUCUGCCUUUCACUGGGGGAUAGCCCGAAGAAAUUUGGAUUAAUACCCCAUAGUAUAGUAAUACGGCAUCGUGAUACUAUUAAAGCUUAGGUGGUGAAAGAUGAGUAUGCGUUCUAUUAGUUAGUUGGAGAGGUAACGGCUCCCCAAGGCGAUGAUAGAUAGGGGUUCUGAGAGGGAUGUCCCCCACACUGGUACUGAGAUACGGACCAGACUCCUACGGGAGGCAGCAGUGAGGAAUAUUGGACAAUGGUCGGAAGACUGAUCCAGCCAUGCCGCGUGCAGGAUGAAGGUCUUAUGGAUUGUAAACUGCUUUUGUAAGGGAAGAAUAAGGGCUACGUGUAGUUUGAUGACGGUACCUUACGAAUAAGCAUCGGCUAACUCCGUGCCAGCAGCCGCGGUAAUACGGAGGAUGCGAGCGUUAUCCGGAAUCAUUGGGUUUAAAGGGUCUGUAGGCGGGUUGGUAAGUCAGAGGUGAAAGCGCUCAGCUCAACUGAGCAACUGCCUUUGAAACUGUUGGUCUUGAAUGGUUGUGAAGUAGUUGGAAUGUGUAGUGUAGCGGUGAAAUGCUUAGAUAUUACACAGAACACCGAUAGCGAAGGCAUAUUACUAACAAUUGAUUGACGCUGAUGGACGAAAGCGUGGGGAGCGAACAGG
rnacentral:rRNA from 1 species